CCUACGGGAGGCAGCAGUGGGGAAUCUUGCGCAAUGGGCGAAAGCCUGACGCAGCAACGCCGCGUGCGGGAAGAAGGCUUUCGGGCUGUAAACCGCUUUCAGCAGGAACGAAAAUGACGGUACCUGCAGAAGAAGGAGCGGCCAACUAUGUGCCAGCAGCCGCGGUGAUACAUAGGCUUCAAGCGUUGUCCGGAUUUAUUGGGCGUAAAGAGUUCGUAGGCGGUCGAGUAAGUCGGGUGUGAAAAUUCUGGGCUCAACCCAGAGACGCCACCCGAUACUGCUUAACUUGAGUUCGAUAGGGGAGUGGGGAAUUCCUAGUGUAGCGGUGAAAUGCGCAGAUAUUAGGAGGAACACCGGUGGCGAAGGCGCCACUCUGGAUCGAUACUGACGCUGAGGAACGAAAGCAUGGGUAGCAAACAGGAUUAGAUACCCUGGUAGUCCAUGCCGUAAACGGUGGGCACUAGGUGUGGGAUUCUAUUAACGAAUUCCGCGCCGUCGCUAACGCAUUAAGUGCCCCGCCUGGGGAGUACGGUCGCAAGCUAAACUUAAAUGAAUUGAGGCUUGNGAGUUGCGAGCGCACGAGGGAGAG
rnacentral:rRNA from 1 species